rnacentral:lncRNA from 1 species
GCGGGUAUGAGAUGGAUCGGUGCGUUGGGGCAGUGUCGAUCCAAAUCUAAAACAGGACGGACGCCGGACGGGCGGCCGAUCCAAACAGAAAAAAAGCGGACAAAUUCGCCGUUCGUUUGGGUCGGUCCGUUAAAAUUGUUCUUACAUGUCCAUCGAGAAAUGCUUUUGAUGAUCUUAUCAAUGAUAGGUCGGAUAUCUUCUCUCCUUAGCUUUUUAUAUUCCAAAUGUACGGGAAAUACUCUCUGGUUCCUGCAUGUAUAUACACCUCAUAUGUCAUAUGGGAAAGAGAAUUUAAUCAUAAAAAAUAAAAAUAAACGGAAGUUUUUCUAUGAUAAGCUUAACUUUCUUUUGCACUAGUAUAUACAUUUUCACUAAUAGAAAACCAACGGUGACUUUAGAGC